rnacentral:rRNA from 1 species
GACGAACGCUGGCGGCGUGCUUAACACAUGCAAGUCGAACGGAAAGGCCCUGCUUUUGUGGGGUGCUCGAGUGGCGAACGGGUGGGUAACACGUGAGUAACCUGCCCUUGACUUUGGGAUAACUUCAGGAAACUGGGGCUAAUACCGGAUAGGAGCUCCUGCUGCAUGGUGGGGGUUGGAAAGUUUCGGCGGUUGGGGAUGGACUCGCGGCUUAUCAGCUUGUUGGUGGGGUAGUGGCUUACCAAGGCUUUGACGGGUAGCCGGCCUGAGAGGGUGACCGGCCACAUUGGGACUGAGAUACGGCCCAGACUCCCACGGGAGGCAGCAGUGGGGAAUAUUGCACAAUGGGCGGAAGCCUGAUGCAGCAACGCCGCGUGCGGGAUGACGGCCUUCGGGUUGUAAACCGCUUUCGCCUGUGACGAAGCGUGAGUGACGGUAAUGGGUAAAGAAGCACCGGCUAACUACGUG